rnacentral:lncRNA from 1 species
GCUGACAUGAGCUUGAGGCUCUAGGCAGUGAAACCAAUUCACUGAGUUUUUUUAGAAUGCACUUCCUUCAAAUUUCAAUAGUGUUGUAGUUCUUCGACUUGAAAGUAUAUAAAUGGGACAUCAAACGUUCAGUAACUGAACUUGGUUCUCUCCAGUGACCUAUAAUGAACAUGGUGAAACUAGGACAUUCAGAUAAAAACCAAACCAAACUGAAUAAAAAAUUUGACUGAAACCAAAUUAGUGCACAAAAUAUUUGGAACCAUUCUCAUUUUUCUAUAUCUGAAAAAAACGAAAACAUCAAAGCCAAACUGAGAAUCGAUGUAUAUUCAAGUAUCCAAAAUGCAAUUUAUGUAUUUAAAUAUGUUAUAUUUAAUUUUAAAUAGCCAAAUAUAUAAAAAUUAUUUAAUAAACGUAAUAUUUAUAUCUUUAUUGAUAAAGUAGAGUAAAAAAUAGGAAGGAAUCAAGGAAUAUUUUUAAGUAUAUAGAGAAAUAAGAUUAUCAGUGUGACAAAGAAAAAUAAAAGAAAUAAGAUUAUCAUGAAGAGUUUUGGUCCACGUGGUGCCACGAUGCUUUUCAAAAAUCUUAUCCAAGCCUUCAUUCCUCUACCUCUUCUCAGUUCCCCCUUGUCCAGUGGAUCCCGUUCUUCUCUCCAAACAAUGAACAAACCCAAAAACUAAACGAAGAAAAAC